UGUUGUUGUAUUUACCUUCUAUUCAUCCUUGAAGGAGAAGAAAUGCACACAGGUUUCAUAUUUAGAAACAGAAAAGGAUUGCCCUUGGUUUCUCCUUUCUCAUUCACGCAACAAACGAAGUCUUAAACACCAUGCACUUGUUAGUCCAGACCAUAAAAAUAAGCUGUAAUAAACAGAGUUCCUGAUUCCAUGGCAACCGCUUUCCACCGGGACUGGGUAGAUUCCUCUCUUUGAAUUAUCGGUGGGCAGCAGAUUGGUCUGUUCCAUGUUGAGCCCAACUUCUGCUUAUCACAGACAUGAAUCCGAUUCGGUGUGGUUUUGUCUACGUGGUUUUACGUCACUGCCGUAUUAUCCCGCGUGUAGUCACAAAGUGUGCUCGAGCACAAUAGUGAUACCUAAAGUCCUGUCCCAGUUGCCUCUGCGGUGGCUGCUCCUCCAUCCGGGACCUGACUGAGGAGGCGGAGAGCAGGAGGAGGGAAAUGUGUUCCAUGUAUUCUUCAAGCUAGAGGAGGCUGCGCCUUGAGAACAGCUUCUUUUAAACUUUAGCUUCAUCUCCGUGGAAAUCCCGUCAGUACUAUUUUAUCUCCUGAAGAAAUGACGACCAGAUACCAAGCAAGUCUUUUCCUUGCUGCUGUGUCUUGGAGGAGAAAGGUUCUUUUACCCCUCUCCAUCACGUGAGAAUUCUCAGCGAAGAUACUGUUAGAAACACAGACUAAAAUCUGCAUUCUGGGGAUCCUGGUAAACACAGGGUCCUGUCUCUUCCCAUCUCCCCUUCAGAACUGGUUUCUAGGAGCCAGAAGACCACUCCACUGUUAUGUGCCGUCUCCGUGCAGCUGCUGACUUGAAUUCUGUAGUUUUGGAGACUGCUUUUGCUGUUUGUGCCUGAGCACCCUGGUCAUUGUCCCCUGGCCAACAGUGAUUGUCAAGUGUCAACUACAAAAAGUGGCCUGUGUCAGGACUGUACGUCACAAUACACAUGGCCUGUUUCCUAAAACCUUCUGUCUAAUGUUUAAUAGAUUGAUGGAACUUCAAAAACAGCACUUCCGACAAUCCUGCUAGACAAGAAGGGACAUGAAGAUACCCCAGAUUUUUAUACACCAAGGAUUCGCUACAUUUAUCAAUCCAGCCUGCAUGUCACAGAUGCGUAGGUCACUGCCCCACACCCCUGCUUAGGGGAGCGUCUUGGGGUGGUGGUGAGGAGCCCAAGACCCCUGGGUCUGAACUGCUGUGUCGAUGCCAGCAGACAGCACAGCCGGCUCCUCCGCGUCCCAGCGUCCUGCCGUAUGACGCACUGGACUACUUCCCAAGAGUGCCCCAAGGGAAACAUGACAUGGACACACAGGAAAUCCCAAACAUUUCAGGUCCAGGUGCCAUGUGGGAAAUGAUUGAUGCUCCAGGGACAGGAGAAGGAUGCGAACUGGGCGACUUCCAAGUUGCAGACAUGCGGAGCUCAUGGGACACCUACUUCUUCUGAGAGGCGAUGCAC